CCUGCACUUCGGGAUAAGCUUGGGAAACUGGGUCUAAUACCGGAUAGGAGCCAUCUUUAGUGUGGUGGUUGGAAAGUUUUUUCGGUGUAGGAUGAGCUCGCGGCCUAUCAGCUUGUUGGUGGGGUAAUGGCCUACCAAGGCGGCGACGGGUAGCCGGCCUGAGAGGGUGUACGGCCACAUUGGGACUGAGAUACGGCCCAG
rnacentral:rRNA from 1 species